UCCUGCUUGACCGCAUGGCUUGUCCAGCACAAUGGAGGAGGGGAAUACUACAUCCUGUAUUCUUGCACAUGCUCCGUACACUACUGAUUGUAUCUUGCCUCGUGCAACCAACUGAUCGAUAUGUCAGCAUAUGCACGUACACAUGCCACGUGGUAAUCUCGGCCUACUAAAUUUAUUUUUACCGAGAUUCCACCACAUUCCCCCCUUUGAUGCCUCUUGAUAUUUUACAAUUACUUGAGGCAUCACUUAACCUUGGUUUGCAU